UCUGUUUGUUUAUAAUUUAAAUUAAUGAUUGCAUAAAACUUAUUAAUAUAUGAUAUAUUGAUAUUAUUUUGAUACUAAUCUCAAAAUAAAUCGUAAAGAUUAAAAGCAGUUUAUAAUAUUAUUGUAGUAAUUAAAUCAGUUGGAUAUUGCUAUUUGUUUGAACGUAAUAGUGCGGUCAGUUUAUAAAGUAUUGUUACGUAUAAUUACUAUAAGUACCUAAUAAUCAGUGUGUCCUGCAUAUUACACAUAAGUAAGUGUAUUAUUGCCAAAAUUAUACUAACAUUAUAUAAUGUAUUUAUAAGAUCAAACUCUGCAAGCGUUUGAAAAUAUAAAUGCAGUAUUUGUGGAAACUAUAAUAUUUAUUUAAUAUUUGCAAUAUUAGAAAUAUUAUCAACUUUGAUCAUUUGACAAAUAAAUUUGUACAUCUCGCAUAUUCAGCACUGUAUUAUGUAUUCUAUAGAUUAUUUACAACAAUUGAAAAAAAAAUAAGUUUACGUUUUUGUGCAAAUAUUUGCCAUUAGAUAUCAGUUUCUGCAUUGAAAUAUUGAUCAGCAUUACAUCAAAGUAAUUUAAUGUCCUACAUUUUAUUUACUUUCCAUUAUAGUUUCUAUUAUUUUUUCUAUUAAGACCCAUAAUAUAAUAACAAUAACUUACGAAUUAUAGAAUAUUAGAAUGUAUAAAUUAUUUAGGUUAUACAACGAACUAAUCAGUUAAGCAUAGGUACCUUACCAUUUAAAUGUAUUAUUGGAUUUGGAUGAUGAUCCGAAUUUAAAAUUAAAAUUAUCUAUUGUAGGUAUAUAAUAUAAAUAUUAUACCUACCUAAAUCUGUAAUACAUGAUGUAUAAUAUAUUAUAUAAUAUCUAGACUACAUGGUAAUCUAUAUUUCUGGUCUCUAGGUACUUCUUCAACUAAUAGGUAUAUUGUUUACAAUGAUCGAAAAAGAUCAGUAUUUUACACUUCUUAUUUGCUUUCAAAAUUAAAAUCAUUAAAUUUAUUUUUUGUACCGAACACCAAAAUGGUCAAUCAAGUACAAACGACCUGCACGCUAAUAAAUCUUACUGGCCUAUGGGACUUAGCCAACUAACUCCUGAACUAUAUGCUGGAUUAAAUGAAUGCCGGGGAAUGCAUUAAACUAAGCAAAAAUUGUUGUUCUAACAAAUAGAAGUGACUGCGGCAAUACAUUUAAUGACAGACAACGGC